UACGAACCGUACAAACGUUAUUCGGAAUUACUGGGCGUAAAGGGCGCGUAGGCGGCGACCCAAGUCAGAUGUGAAAGUCCUGGGCUUAACCUGGGGACUGCAUUUGAUACUGGGUUGCUUGAAUUCGGGAGAGGAUAGCGGAAUUCCCAGUGUAGAGGUGAAAUUCGUAGAUAUUGGGAAGAACACCGGUGGCGAAGGCGGCUAUCUGGACCGACAUUGACGCUGAGGCGCGAAAGCGUGGGGAGCAAACAGG
rnacentral:rRNA from 1 species